AUGAACGCUGGCGGCGUGCCUAAUACCUGCAAGUCGAGCGAACAGACGAGGAGCUUGCUCCUCUGACGUUAGCGGCGGACGGGUGAGUAACACGUGGAUAACCUACCUAUAAGACUGGGAUAACUUCGGGAAACCGGAGCUAAUACCGGAUAAUAUAUUGAACCGCAUGGUUCAAUAGUGAAAGACGGUUUUGCUGUCACUUAUAGAUGGAUCCGCGCCGCAUUAGCUAGUUGGUAAGGUAACGGCUUACCAAGGCGACGAUGCGUAGCCGACCUGAGAGGGUGAUCGGCCACACUGGAACUGAGACACGGUCCAGACUCCUACGGGAGGCAGCAGUAGGGAAUCUUCCGCAAUGGGCGAAAGCCUGACGGAGCAACGCCGCGUGAGUGAUGAAGGUCUUCGGAUCGUAAAACUCUGUUAUUAGGGAAGAACAAAUGUGUAAGUAACUAUGCACGUCUUGACGGUACCUAAUCAGAAAGCCACGGCUAACUACGUG
rnacentral:rRNA from 1 species